AAGCCCCGGCACCUUCUCUGGGUGUUGCCUCAGAUUUGCAUUCUGUUGUCUUCCCGGGA
rnacentral:tRNA from 1 species